rnacentral:rRNA from 1 species
AGGUAGCCGUAGGUGAACCUUCGGCUGGAUCAUUACCGAUCCUAUGACACAUUUAUUCGUGCUCGUCACGAUGAUGCGAUUGGUGACUUCGGUUGCCGCGCAUGAUGGCGGUUCGAUUCGCGUCGUUCCGCCUACUUAUGGUUCGCAUGGAAGCCGAGAGGCGACCGUGCAACGGUGAAGUCUGGGUUUCUACGUGCUGUUGUUGAGUUGGCGUUUUACCGUGCCGACAGAUGAGACCAGCCAGCUGCUUGCCGAUUCGUUCUGGCGAGCGUAGGAUUGAAAAGCCCGAGAGGCUGCCCUGACAAAACAUUCAUUUUACAUUUAUUUUGUUGGAAAAGAGCUUUAAGUUACUCCGGUGGAUCACUUGGCUCGCGGGUCGAUGAAGAACGCAGUGAAUUGCGAUAAUAAGUACGAAUUACAGAUAUUAUGAGUACCAUGUUUUUGAAUGCAUAUUGCGCUCUUGGGCUUUGCUCUUGAGCAUAUUCGAUUCAGGGUGUGUUUUUAAACUCGAGCAGAAACGCCGACUUGUUUUUUUCAAGUUUCUGCACGUUGUGACAGUCGUCUCGCAUUGUUCGCGCAAUGUUAGGCACCAUCUGUUUUACGCGGUUUGUUCCGCGACCAAUAUCUUCUACGCACUGUUUGUCCGUGCGGGGCGAGAGGGCUUCGUGCUCGAUUGUCGUGCGCGGCUAAACCGUUUGGUGAUGUUGUUUCAACGGCGCGGCCGUCAGGGACGUUCGGAUGAGAAUGUUUGGAGUCCUGGCUGCGGUUUGUUGAGCUUCGUCGUGAAGCCUUGCGGGCAGUGUUGUCGGAAUUGGUUGAAACCACCUGAGUUGGGUAUGACUACCUGCUGAACUUAAGCAUAUCAGUAAGCAGAG